GGCAGGCCCAGAGUUCAACUGGCUGACCAAUGAUAAUACACGCGUUGCAGUGAUUGCUGCAGAUCACAAACAAUGUUCCACUUAUAUUUCCACAGGUCUACUGAAUGGAACACAUCA